UACAGAGGGUGCGAGCGUUAAUCGGAAUUACUGGGCGUAAAGGGCGCGUAGGUGGUUACUUAAGUCAGAUGUGAAAUCCCUGGGCUUAACCUAGGAAUUGCAUUUGAAACUGAGUAGCUAGAGUAUGGUAGAGGGAAGUGGAAUUUCCGGUGUAGCGGUGAAAUGCGUAGAUAUCGGAAGGAACACCAGUGGCGAAGGCGACUUCCUGGACCAUUACUGACACUGAGGCGCGAAAGCGUGGGGAGCGAACAGG
rnacentral:rRNA from 1 species